UUAUUUCAAAUCAUGAAAACUCAAAAAACGUAAUAAAAAAGGUAAAAUGAAUAAAACAAACCCCUAUAUAAAUAAAGUAAUAAGAAACCUAAAAAAUAAAAUUAAAGAGUUAUAAAAUAUAUAACACUAAAGAUAUAAAUUGUAUAUUUAAAUUUAUAUAAUAAUAUCAAAAUUAAAUAUUUAUAAAAUAAAAAUAUAUCCGCAAGAUGUGCGGGUUAAACUCUAGUAAUGUGUUAUCGCUUUAGUCUAUCGUACAAUCAAUACAAAUCUAGAUAAAAUAAUACAGUGUGCUCGAACAUAACCGUCUUAUUUUGUUUUGUAAAAGAUUAUCACAAAUAUGUAGUAUGAAUCAUAAUAAAAUUUGAAUUAUGUUGUUGACAACAUAUUUUUAUCAUAAACAAAUACCAUAGUUAAUUAUCAAUUGUAAAACCAACACAUGAGACCAUUAUGAUUAAUAACUCUGUGUAAUGUGUAUAUAUAUAUAAUUAUAUAUUUUCAAGGGUCCAAAAUUAAAAAUACAAAUUAUUAUAGAAAUUAUGAAAAAUAAAUUAUUUAAUACACCAAAAUAUGUACGUAUACUAAAAACAAUUAAAAACUGUAUUGAGCAAUUAUUAUACUAACAAAGUCUUGCUAAAAGAUUACUGAAUCCUUUUUUUUUCUUGUGAGCGUCUGAUGAAAAUUUUAUUUGUGGUUAUCUUAAGUUCUUAGAAUUUCAAAAUAUUAUAUUGCAUUACAAAACCCAAUAAUUUUACUGAUAAUUUAAAUAGUUUAUAACUUUGUAUCAAAUCUUUUGUAUCAUUUUAUUUUCUAAAAAAAAAUGUUUGAUUUUCUUUUAACCAAUCCCAAAAGAAAACAAAUAUUUUUUGGUUAGUAAUUUUUUUUCAAAACUUCUGUGAUUAUUUUACACAAAUAUAUUCAUGAUAAAAAAUUUCAAAAAAUGCUAUUGAUAACUUCCAAAUAUAAAAAUGGACACACUUCGAGGAUAUAUUGUAAUCUAGUAAAAAAACUACCAACAAAGAGAACCAUCUUCUUAGGCAAUUGAUUAAAAUCUCGAAACAUGAUUGAAGAUAUGCAUAUUUAUCUCAUUAAUGAAAGUACUAAACCUCAAUCACAAAUUUCUAUCCGUUAACUCUAAACCCUAAGGUUUAGAUUAGUUAACCUAGGGUAUAAAUGUAUAUUUAUCUCUUUAAUGAAAGUACGAAACAUUUUGGUCAUUUUGAUUCUUAGAGUCUAUAUUUGUGACCAAAACGUUUUUAUUGCUAUCUUUGGGUAUUUCCCUUAUAAAAACUUUAGACAAUUUUUUUUUGAAACUCACCUAGCAUUAGAAUCUAAAUUUUAAAAUUUUCUAAUUUGUUUAUGUAUUCGAAUUUUUAUUAUUAUAGAAAAUUUAUUUAUUAUUGGUGUAUUUGUUAUUUUAGUUUUUAAUAUAAAUUUCCUAUAUUUUGAUUACAUAUCGAAUAAUAUAUAUAUAUAGAUGGCAUCUAAGAAUAUUUACUCAGAUUUUAUGAAAAUUUUAAAAUGGAAAAUGAAAUAAAUUUGUGGAAGAAAGAGUUUGACUUUCCGUCUAAAACUUAUAUUAUGUAAAAUAAAAAAAUAAAAAAUAAAAAAAAUAUUUUAAAGAUAUAUAUUAUCACUUGAACUACAUUAUAUAUAAUAUCAAUAUUUUAUAACAAAAUCAAUUAUAUGUUAUAUUAGUUUAAAUUUAUAAUAAAAGUGAAAACAAAACUUACAUAAACAUGUAGAUCCAAAUCUAGUGUUUUUUUAAUAAAUAAUAGACGUUGAUGGUUUUAAAUUUAUGGUAAAAUAUCUAUGAACUAAUAAAAAAUAUAUAUAUAUAUAUAUUAAAAUAAUUAUUUUAUGAAAGUACAUAGUUUUUUCUAAAUUCUUACUUUAAGAGAUGUUACAGAAAACAAAAACAAAAAUGCUUAUGAAAAAUGCAUGAAUUUGAAAAUAUAAUUAGUAAUCUCGACGAUCAAAAAUAGAAAAGAUUAUUUUACUUGUCUGAUGAUCUAUCCAAGUGAGAGAAAAAAAGAUUUGUGACUACUCUGAUGACACAAUUCAAUUAUUCUUUUGGAUACAGGAAAUAUUUCUGGAUGGUCUGAAAAUAUGAAUAAAUAUAAAUUUUAUAGAAGUUUUAUAAAACUGAUAUCUUAAUAUUAUCUUAUUCAACUUUACUAAUUCUUUCAAUGGAUUAGUUCAUAACCCACAAUUUUAUUAUUUUAUUUUUGUUAAUUUACACUGAUUAUACCACAUUUACAUUAUUUGGGUUUAUUAAUUUACGGAAUAGUAUUAAUUUACAUUGAUUAUAGUACAUUCACAUUACAGUUAUAGUCAAAUUGGGAAAGAUUAAAAGUGUUUUUAUUCAAUCCGUAAAAAUAUCAAUAAAAUAAUAAAAGUUUUUUUUUUAAUAAAUCAUGAUAAUUUUUAGGUCCUUUUUAAAAGUUGUAACGUUUAGUGCUUCACUAAAAUAGUAUAAAAUUUUCAUAUCGCAACAAACUAUAAAACUUUCCGAUUUUAUUUUUAUACUCGGAAUUUUUAUUUCAAAAUCAGCUUCAUUUAUUGCGAGUGGGCGUGGCAAAAUCUUGUAGGAUUCUCUCUUUAAUUUCGUUGGUUUAUUCUUUCGUAUACAUUGAAUGAACACCAAAGAAGAAAGUUCAAGGGCAGUUAAUGCUUUCAAAUUUCUAACGCCAUUUUACUUCUUGGCCUCUUGCGAACCACAUUACUCUCAUGCUUCUUGAGUUCUUGUAGACCACAGUACUGUCAUUUACCUAUACGUAACCGAUGCAUGCAUAAUAUUUCAUAUUUUUCUAUAUAAUGACACAUUGACAUGUGGUUUUGAGCGUUUUUGAAUUGUAGAACUGCUACAUUUGUCCAUAACCUCGAUAUAUUCCCUUGUAAAAGCUACUUUCAUAUUUAAAACCUCAUAUUAGUUAUCGAAACGUAAAUGUUAGAUGUCAGCUAUCUAGAGUAACCGAUGCAUGGUAUUUCAUAUUUUUCUAAAUGUUGAAGGUUGGAUGAGCAACUGACAUGUGGGCCUGUGGUUACGCUCCAUUUGUACAUAACCUCGACAUCUAUAAGCUGAGAUUUAUGCUUAAGAUUUCAACGUCAUUUUUGGGUCCAAUUGUUAAAUUUUCAAACGUCAUUUUACUUCUUGGCUUCUUGCACAUCAUAGUACUUUGAUUUAUCCUCAGCACAUAGUGUUUAGAUGAUUUGUUAGAGCAGGUUAUGGUUCGGUUUAAUGUGGUAUCAGUUAUGUGUUGGUAGAUAGCGGUAUUUGGGGUAUAAGCCAUUGUAGAUACGAGAUAAGUAUCGAGAAGAUAUGGGUAGGACGAGAUCUAGUAUGUUUAGAUUCUCUUGUAUCACGUAUAUAUAUAAGCGUUACUCUGAUGAAUAACAACACACAACAUUCUCAACAUAUUCUUCCUAGUUUACAUGGUCUCAGAGCGAUAAGAUCCUUUGACAUAAUUUACUACAACUACUACUAUACCGAUGUUGGGUCCUCUGUGGAUGUUAUUCCCACAUUGUCCACGCUUCAGACCUAGAUGUCUGAACGUGAGGGAGGGUAUUGAUGAGAAACAUCUCACAUCAGAAAUAUAUGAAUUAAUCUACUACUAUAUAAAGAGUUAGGGUCAAUCCACUCAUCGCCAAUUGGUUUUAAGUUGGAAGCCCAAGAAACUUAACAUGGUAUCGGUUAUGUGUUGGUAGAUAGCGUUACUUGGGGUAUAAGCCAUUAUAGAUACGAGAUAAGUAUCGAGAAGAUAUGGGUAGAAGGAGAUCUAGUAUGUUUAGAUUCUCUUGUAUCACGUAUAUAUGUAAGCGUUACUCUGAUGAAUAACAAUACACAACAUUCUCAACAUAUUCUUCCUAGUUUACAUGAUUCACCGUAAAAACAUUUUUCUUUUGAGAAAAGACUUUGCAUACACAAAAUAAUCUAGAAGGCAGUUGUUUUUUGGGCUUGUCCCAUUACAUCAAGUUGAUAAUUAAACAUUAGGACGGGUCUGGCCCCAUUUGAACUACAAAUAAACACAAUUACAUAUAGAGAAACUGAAAAGGUGAUUGACCCUGAGUCAGUGAUUGCGAAAGGAAGGAGCUCAUGCUUAGUCAUCGAGCCAAAUUUGAAUCAUCUUAGAGACCGAAGAGAGAGAUGGGUUGCAGAGCAAAAGCUGGAGAUAUGAUUUAUGAUGAGAACAUCUGCUUGCUUCGAGAUGGAAGAGGUGGUGCAGAAUUUUUGGCGGUGAAGCCUACUAUUUCGCUCAAACCAAAGAAGGUAGAUCGUCGCUUGCCAUGCUACCUGAGUUAGAAGUUUAUGAUGUUUACAUUUGGCAUGCAAACUGGUCCAUAAGCCCAAUUCCUUGUUGGUGUCCAGUUUUUUUUUCUCGUCAAAUCUUACCAUAAGUUCUAAGAGAAUGGGCAUUCAAAGUAGAGGACAACUAUUCAGAACUGUUUGCCAAGUGAGAAAAUUAUACCGUGGAAUCCCUCUGGAUAACCAAACCCCCUUAUGCCAAGGUAUUGGAAGUUGAUGGAUUUUGAUUGCAUUGUAGAUCAUCCCAGUUGAGUACAACGAUUUAGGAGUUCCUAAAGGUGACCAUUCGAAGAUGUAUUUCUCCAAAAUAAGAAUGAUGGUGGAGAGGUAGACGUGAAGAGAUAGUUGUGUUUCAGACCAUGGAUGAGGGAGUAGCCAGCUUCCUCGUUGAUAUAGAUCAUGGAGGGUCAUUUUCUGUCGAAUACCAAGGCUUUAAGAUGCAGGGAGGUCAAAAUAGAAUAGAAUUUCAAGUUCUCAGACGGACUCCAGCGGUCUGACCAGAACCUAGUGUUCCUUCUAUUUCGAGGUAUUGUUUUUAUCCAGUUGUAAGCAUAAUCUCGUAAGAUAUUUUUAGUCGAUGAGGAGUGAGUUUGUUUUUUCUUAAUGAUCCACAUGUUGCUUAUGUUACAUGAGAGGAUGUUUUUGAUGAACCAAGCAAUCCAAAUAGAGCAUGCUUUGGAAAAAAGAAUCCAUAUCAACUUGAUUGAGCAAGAUUUAUUCCAAGAUACCAACUCUCUGAUCCCAAGACUUCCUUCUGACUUCGCUAAGGUUGUUGAACCCCACAUGAGAAGACGAAAGUUUUAGAGAUGCUGAUUGAGGGUACAAAGAGCUGUUUGAAGUCAUUCAGAAUCUCAAGGACGUUUUGAACUGAACGGAAUGAUCCAUCAUAAAAUACUAACAAGUUAUCUGCAAAGCAAAGGUACGUGAGUGUGGUCUCUUUACAAGCGUAGUGAUAACCACAUUUUCCUUCUUCAACUGCUUUAUCCAAGAGUAGUGAUAGACAAUUCAUUGCAAUGACAAACAUGUAAGGAAAAAAAAAGGUCUCUCUGCCUGAGUCCUCUUGUACUUUUGGAGAAGCCUUGGACUGUUCCACUUAAUCUUAUCAUAAAACUUGGCGAAGUAAUACAAAAAUGGACCCACUUGAUGAAUUAAGAAGGCAGAUUAAUCCCACGGAGACAAUUGAAGAUAAAGUCCCAAUUGACUGUAUCAAAAGCUUUGACAAUGUCUAUUUUAAUGGAUAAGGUAUAGAAGUAGAUGUUGGACCCAAUUUCGGUCAAUAUGUAAAUGGGCCACGAUCAACUGAAUGGGCCGCGAAGAGUUGAAGCCCACUGCAAGCACUCGAGCUCCAAACGGAGACUUCGAAGACCCGGAGAUCGCGGAACGGCUGCUGAGAUUGCGGAGCAGUUGCGAACAUCAUGAGGGCAGCAUGCUAUAACAAGAAGUCGACGCAUAAAGAAGAGACACGUUGAAAACCCUAGAGAGAGCUACACCCACACUUCGACCUUGUAUUCAUCCAUCUUUAGAUUUUUUCUCUUAAGCGAUCUCGUUGUAACAUUCGAUCUUGUUUUACUCAUUGUAUCCGAUCUUAUUCAUCAAUAACGUCCAUUUUUACCUACCGGAAACUGAUUAUAUCGUUGUAUUCUAAAGAUAUUGUUGCCUACAUCGUUUAUCUUAUCCUGAUUAAACUCCCGAUCAUUAUCAAAUUCUUAGUGUAGAUUUUAGGAUCUACAAUAGAUGCUUGAGGCGUUUUACCACUAUUUUUGAGAUGAGCUUGUAUAGUUUAUUGCAACAUGAGAUCGGUCGGAAGACCCCAAUAGUUGAAGCUCCACUAUGUUUGGAAACCAGUGAUAAAACUUUUUCAUGUUUCUUUUUCCUUCAUAUUAGAUUCAAAACUGAAAUGUUGGAUGUAAUUGUUUUAACGAUAACUAAUGAUAUUUCGUAUUCUAAUUCUAUCCAUAUACUGGGAUGUUUUAAAAAAUAUAUAUAUAUUUUUUGGGCUGUGGUUAUUGAACUCAAAGAAUACAAGGUUUAAGAUCAAAGACUAACUUUCUUUAUUGCUUUAGAAAAUUACUCAAAACUAAAGCUCUCAAACCUUAAUUUCUCAACUCAUAAGUUAUGUCACAACUUUGAUAUCUCCUUAUAUAUAGAGAUAGAUAACUCCUAAUCUCAUUAAGUUUAACUUAUUUAGAUAUCUCCUAAACACGUAUAUUUCUUAAUUCUUUCAUAACUAGGUUAGCUUUGAAUCCAAGCUAACUUCAAGUUUACUUUUAACAUUCUCUUCUUUAAACUUGAAGUCCAUUUUUGACAAGUCUUCAAUACCGACAAGUCCUCUUAUCUCUUUGAACUUCAAUCUCCCAAGUGUAUUUGUCAAGAUGUCAUCUCUCUGUUCACUCCCGGGUAUAUGCUGAACCAUGAUCAAAAAUCAUUCUCCACACUCUCUUAUGAGUGAUAACAUCGAUGUAUGUGUUUGUUUUGUCCGUGAAAUACAUGGUUAUUUGUGAGGGCUAUAGCAGAAUUAUUAUCAAUAUGAAUUGUUACUUUCUCACACGUCCUACUGGUAAUCUCUCCAAGAAGUUUUUGUAGCCAUAUGGCAUGCUUAGCCACCUCAGUUUAUGUCAUAAACUAGGCUUCAUAAGGGGAUAGUGCAACAAUGUCUUACUUUUGAGAAUAUCACAUGAUGGAACUAUCGGAGAAAUAGAAAAUGUGUCGACUUGUACUUCUUCCGUCAUCAACGUUGUGGCUACUGUCUAUAUCAUAUAAGUUUUGCUUUUGCUGCUCGACUAAACACCAAACUGUGUGCAAGAAUUCCUCGUAAGUACCUCAAAAUCUGUUUUAAAACUGUUUUGCGAUUGUUUGGGAGUUUGCAUGUACCUACUUAAAACUUCAACACAAAAGAAUAGGUCCGGUCGUGUCUGUAUCAAAUACCUGAGGCACCCAAUGUUUCUUUUAUACUCUUUUUCGUCUUUGUUUUGUUCUUUGUGUGCUUUAGAAAGUUUCAAAUCCAGUUCCAUGUGUGUAAGUACCGUGUUGCAUUCUUCCAUUUCAGUUUCUGUUAGGCCUUUUUUUAGCAUAUAUCUCUUGUCUCAGUGUAAUCCCUUAUUGUUAUCAUGUGAUUAAGAAAAUACGGAAUAAUCAUGUUAUCAUGUCAACCUUAUGAGGGUCAAACGGUAAACUCUAACCACCCAAAUCCACCUGGGUAAGCUUCUAUCAAAUAAAAUAUAUAAUACGUAGGACUUGAUAAAAUUUUUAAAAGGUUUGUUAAUCACUUUGCGAAAUAGAAAACCACAUCGAACUUACUACAGUUUCAUCGAGUCCGAAGUAGAUAUUUUCGUUAUAUUAAAAAAACAUAACAGUAACAGUAACAACGUAGUGGGUUUCUUUAAAUUAAAUAGAGAGGGUAUUGAGACCACCAAGUUGGAAAGCGAGGAAGUAGGGGGAAUGAUGAAGUCGCAAGCCCAUUCGAUAUAAAUAAUUAAUUUGUCAAUUCUCACCGCUCUUCAUCAUCACAUAUCAUUUUCCUAGAUGGACCUAUCGUAACACUAUCUCUCGUUCAUACCUUUGAUCUCGAAAAUCGUCACUCGAAAUUAACUUAAAAGACGGUAUGUAAUAUCAUAUGGACGUGAUCGACUUAUCAAAUGACAACGAUGUACACUGAUUUAUCUGUUGUAAAAUACUAUAUCAAAUCUAAUUUUAUUUUGUGUAAGGACGAUUCAAGUCCUUUGCUCCACAAUUAUUCCAGUCCCGGGGACCAAGUACUUAUGUACGUGUAUCUUUCGUCAAAGAGUCCCGCACAAUGAUGACUCUGCAUAUGAUGAUAUCGAAAGCCUUUAUAUUCUUAAUCGUUAUGGUUGUGUUUUGAUCUUCAUAAAGAUGCAUAUCUAUAAAAUGAACACUGUGUAUUCUUAAUAAACUGAAAAGUUACAUAUAAAGUUACGAAAAGACGUAAUAUAUCUCUUGAUCAUCUUAAGAAAGAAUUUGCUACAUUUGUAUAAACGACCUCUACAUAAAGUUAAUUAAGCAAUACACAAAUAGAAAUAUAAUAAUCUUAUCAUACAUAAAAAGAACUAUGUGGCUUUAUAAAAAGUGUGCGUAUUACACUAAAACUCACCUAGUUAUUUUUAAAUUAUGAGUUUAGGGUAUGUCUAUUUGAAGGGUCGUGUUAUCACGUGGAAAGGUUCGAUAUGAUCAUAUGCUUCAACUCAAUUGAAUGCGAAAUCCGAAAGGUGAAAGCUACUACAAUGUAAUUAGCUUUGACAUUGAAUUGUCAACUCUCUGAUACUGAUAAUUUGUAAUUUGAGAAUCACCUUCCUUUUAGUUCUCCUUAAUUUUUUAAUAUUCUUAAUUUGUUUAAUUAGUUUAUUCUCAGAGAGUGUUUGCCAAAUGGCGAGCUCACAUAGUCAGAACGUUGAGGUAAGGACAAGAACAUGAUGAGUCGGUUUGCAUGCUUCGUGCUUCCACUUCACUCGCCGUUGUUCUUGUUACUUGUCGUCGUUUGUACUAUCUUUUAAUUAAUGGAAAGUGUUAUUUAUAUUCGUUAAGUACAAUCAGAUAUCCAAAUCAUAUUUCCACUCUCUUUCAUAUGGAUUGGUUACGAGUUCCGACCAUCGCUUAGGUUUUUUCUCCUCAACCUAUCGAUUAAAAAUAAAUAGUCAAAUUAAUUACAUAAAAAGAAGACUUAGUUGACAUUAUAUAUUUAUAUUAUAACCACUAAAUUUAUCUGGUUUCAGUCUGAAACUCAAACUGUAUCAAAUUGAAAUUGCACUAACAAAUUAUAAUAUUUUGAUUUUAUUUAACAUUUUCGUAACUGUGCAAUAUUGUCGUUUCUUUCUGUCUUUGUGCAAUAUUACGAAAAUGUUAAGUCACAGAAAAAAAGACUGACCAAUGUUUGUGACUGUGUGCAUUAUUCAGAAUAUGAGAGAUAUGAAAACAGCCAUUUCGAGAUAUGUUUAAUUCAUACACAACUUAUAUGACUAUACAAAAACAUAUUUAUAUUUUUGAAAAUUUCAAAUAAUAUGCCUUUUGUUUAUCUUUUGGUGAAAUCAUACACUAAUCGCCACAUCAACUGUAUCAUCUAAUUUUUCUGAUAUACAUGCUAUGUCAACUAAAUUUAUUGAUGAGUAUGCCAUGUGCACAAUAUUUUUUUAAACAAAAUAAUCAUUUUGUAACAUUUAUUAUUUUUUAUUAUUUUAAAUCAUAAGACUUAAUCUUAAAUAAGUGAUAUAUUCGUAAAUGUUAUAUAAUAAUUUUACAUCAUAAAUUUAUUAAAUGUAGUGUUCGAGUACUCGUUGGGAUUCAUGUCAAGUUUCUUGAAUUUCGAUUUUAUUUUGUAACACAUCAUAAGAACCAUAUUGGUAUUUUUGUUAGUAUGGAUCAAGAUAUUUUUUGUAACACUGUACAAGACUCAUUCGGGCAUUUUCUUAUAUUUAAGACCGAGUACGGAUCAGAUUAUUUGGUUCGGGUUUGGUUCAGAUUUCAGGUUAUAGAUUUUAUUGAAAGUAACACAACUGCAAAAGUGAUAUUGAAUUUGAAUCAUUACAACACUUAUAUAAUUUUUAUAAGGACGGUAUUGUGAUAGAAUCUAAUAUUUAUAAAUAUAUAUGUUAUAUAAAGUUAAAUUUUUAUGAUUUAAUUAAUUUUUUAAAUAUUACUAAAUAAUAAAAUUUAUAAAAUUUUACAUUUUCUAAAAAGUUAUUUAUAUAAAACAACUAUUUUCUUUUAAAAAGAUUGUAUAAAUGAUAUUUUCGUCAGUAAAAUUAGCUAGCGUAUUAUCCACAUCAGCAAAAUUAGAUGAUGUGUCAGCUGAUGUGGCGACUGAUGUAUGAUUUCGCAAAAAAAAUAAGCAACGGAUAUGUUAUUUGAAAAUUUUGAAAAUACAUGUAUAUUUUUGCACGGUCGUAUAAGCCGAGUAUGAAUUAAAUGAAAUAGCCAAAUAUGAAUUAAAUGAAUUGACCGAUUUCCUUCUAUUUGUUAUAUUUUCGUAAACUUCGUGUUACUCCCAAAAUGGUCAAGCCCGCAGUCCAGUCAACUGUUUUAAACUACGUCUAUUGGGCUUACAAAAGGCCCAUAUUUCUCAAUCCUCUAUUCAUAAAGAAAAUCUAAUAAUAGCUGGUAUCUUUUUGACAGCUGAGUUAUCUAUGCUAAACACUACUUUUGGCCAAAGAAUAGAGUUUCAAACUUCUUUUGCCAAACCUUAUAUGAAUAGUAUUAUGAUUAAUUAGGGGUCAGAGGGUUCUGAAAUCGAAGGAAGCUUAUUUAUAAUUUAAAAGUGUCAUGAGAUAUGACUGUGAAGCCUAACCGUUGAAUGUAUAUAAGAUUUCUAGCUUCGGGAUGCAUAUGUUUUAUAUGCAUACAAACUAAACAUAGUGCUCUACGAAUAGGGCGCGGGACAACCCUAAUUGAGAUUUGGACCAUUGUUGGUUGUUAUACUCAAAAUCGUAUAAUAACAUUGAAUUAACAUACUUUUUUUCUAAAU